GAUGAACGCUGGCGGCGUGCCUAAUACAUGCAAGUCGAACGGUCCGCAAGGAUAGUGGCGAACGGGUGAGUAACGCGUUGGUGACCUGCCCUGAAGAGGGGGAUAACGGAUCGAAAGAUCCGCUAAUACCGCAUAAGCUCUCACUAGUUAGAGAGGUGAGAGGAAAGCCGAAAGGCGCUUUAGGAGGGACCUGCGUCCCAUCAGCUAGUUGGUAAGGUAGUGGCUUACCAAGGCGAUGACGGGUAGGGGACCUGAGAGGGUGGCCCCCCACAAUGGAACUGAAACAACGGUCCAUACACCUACGGGUGGCAGCAGUAGGGAA
rnacentral:rRNA from 1 species